rnacentral:lncRNA from 1 species
UAUAUGUACAAGCUAAAAGACAUAAACUACAUGGGAUUGAGAUUAUCUCCUCCUGCAACUCAUAAAUUAAUGGGUAUCAUUACAAUGGUGUACAUGUGGAUAUUGUUACAAUAGUGUACAUGUUUACUGUUUAUGUACAUGUGGACAUCAUUACAAUGGUGUACAUGUGGAUAUCGUUAUAUGUUGUCCUAUGAGCCGGAAACUUAAAGAGUUUAUCAAAACAAUAACCGAGCAACAUAUCCAUCGUCGGUGUCCCCUCAAACACA